AGCGAACGCUAGCGGCAGGCCUAACACAUGCAAGUCGAACGAUCCUUCGGGAUAGUGGCGGACGGGUGAGUAGCACGUGGGAACGUACCUUUAGGUUCGGGAUAACUCAGGGAAACUUGAGCUAAUACCGGAUAAGCCCUUUUGGGGAAAGAUUUAUCGCCUUUAGAGCGGCCCGCGUUAGAUUAGCUAGUUGGUGAGGUAAAGGCUCACCAAGGCUCCGAUCUAUAGCUGGUCUGAGAGGAUGAUCAGCCACACUGGGACUGAGACACGGCCCAGACUCCUACGGGAGGCAGCAGUGGGGAAUCUUGCGCAAUGGGCGAAAGCCUGACGCAGCCAUGCCGCGUGAAUGAUGAAGGUCUUAGGAUUGUAAAAUUCUUUUAGCAGGGACGAUAAUGACGGUACCUGCAGAAAAAGCCCCGGCUAACUUCGUGCCAGCCGCCGCAGUAAGAC
rnacentral:rRNA from 1 species